rnacentral:rRNA from 1 species
UGGGGAAUAUUGCACAAUGGGCGCAAGCCUGAUGCAGCCAUGCCGCGUGUGUGAAGAAGGCCUUCGGGUUGUAAAGCACUUUCAGCGAGGAGGAAGGUGGUGAGCUUAAUACGCUCAUCAAUUGACGUUACUCGCAGAAGAAGCACUGGCUAACUCCGUGCCAGCAGCCGCGGUAAUACGGAGGGUGCAAGCGUUAAUCGGAAUUACUGGGCGUAAAGCGCACGCAGGCGGUUUGUUAAGUCAGAUGUGAAAAUCCCCGGGCUCAACCUGGGAACUGCAUUUGAAAACUGGCAAGCUAGAGUCUCGUAGAGGGGGGUAGAAUUCCAGGUGUAGCGGUGAAAUGCGUAGAGAUCUGGAGGAAUACCGGUGGCGAAGGCGGCCCCCUGGACGAAGACUGACGCUCAGGUGCGAAAAGCGUGGGGAGCAAAACAGGAUUAGAUACCCUGGUAGUCCACGCUGUAAAACGAUGUCGAUUUUGGAGGUUGUGCCCCUUGAGGCGUGGCUUCCGGAGCUAACGCGUUAAAUCGACCGCCUGGGGGAGUACGGCCGCAAGGUUAAAAACUC